CUAAAUUUCCGUCGCGCUUUAAACAAUGAGGCCAGUCACUAAAAAAAAAAAAUUGUCGUUAAACAGAUAGAAAUGUCGCUUUAUCUAGCGACAAAGACGCUAAAAUGGCAACACUGGUAGAGGCGCACUAACUGCGAAUCGCCGACUUCAGCGUUAUUUGACUCCUCUGCACGGCUGCCGCUUUUCUACGUACUUCUCGUAACCCACACAGUUCAUACUUCAUGCAGCGAGUGAAGCCCAAGUGCAAAUGUCGGUGUGCGUACUUCAGGGCCCUCAAAAGAAAGGCGGAGCGGAUGACCUCGUCCAUAUGGGGCAGAAAUUGCGGGCCCUUUACGGCAGGCAUGGCGGCGCUUGGCGUGCUCCUGGCAGACAUGGCGAGAACACUCGUGCGCUACUGCUAUGUUGCGCCGAUGCUGCCGUUGCGCAUCGUUCCCCACGUAAUGCGGAUCACUGCGGCCAUGCUGCCCUCCUGGCUCCAUCCAUGGGUGACCCAGUGGGCAGACUCGUCACUAAGCCGUCUUUGAAGCCAGCGAUAUUCCUGUGAAGUGGAUCUGGAGCCAUUUCAGCCGGCGAUGUUCAGGUCGUAUCACCUACGUGCAGCCUUAAGGAUGAAAAAAAAGCGGAUCCUCGUUUUGCAUGAAGCAAUCCUGGCUGUUUCAACGUCCCAGCACAUUGACAUGACGUCGCGCGUUCAAGCAGUCUUGUAGACUCCUUCAGCGAAUAAACACUUCAUAGAUAUUUUA